rnacentral:rRNA from 1 species
GACGAACGCUGGCGGCGUGCUUAACACAUGCAAGUCGAACGGAAAGGCCCUGCUUUUGUGGGGUGCUCGAGUGGCGAACGGGUGAGUAACACGUGAGUAACCUGCCCUUGACUUUGGGAUAACUUCAGGAAACUGGGGCUAAUACCGGAUAGGAGCUCCUGCUGCAUGGUGGGGGUUGGAAAGUUUCGGCGGUUGGGGAUGGACUCGCGGCUUAUCAGCUUGUUGGUGGGGUAGUGGCUUACCAAGGCUUUGACGGGUAGCCGGCCUGAGAGGGUGACCGGCCACAUUGGGACUGAGAUACGGCCCAGACUCCUACGGGAGGCAGCGGUGGAGAAUAGUGCACAAUGGGCGGAAGCCUGAUGCAGCAACGCCGCGUGCGGGAUGACGGGCUUCGGGUUGUAAACCGCUGUCGCCUGUGACGAAGCGUGAGUGACGGUAACGGGUAAAGAAGCACCGGCUAACUACGUG